AUUUAAAUAGCUUAAUCAGAGCAUAAUAUUGAAAAUAUUAAGGUGGUAAUUUAUUGCUUUUAGAUG
rnacentral:tRNA from 1 species